AGUCAUUGGCAGCACAGCAGGGGAACCAACAGUGAAAUAAAAGCCUCAAUGCACCCAGUGGAGGUUGCAGGAUGCUUGGAAACUCCUCAAACAGCUGAAAUGUUGCCGCCGAGCAGAUAAUGCAGAUAUUUCUGGAUUAUGGCACUGAGUCAGGCACUGGAAUACACACGGCUGCCUCAUUUGUGUGAAAUCCGGGGAAGACGCUUUGCAUCCCAUGGAAAGGGCUUGUUUGCUGCCCUGGAAAUAUAGACCAUCCUGCACAAAUGAAUUCCAUUGUAGGAGUCUUUUUUUGUUUUGAAAAGCAGAUGCAGAAGUUCAACCCCUAGUGUUUCCAGAUAAGAGAAAGAAGCACGUCUUUAUGCACACAAAUAUGAGAUUCUGUCAGUAAUUUGCAUUUGGAGACUUUGCUUGAUGCCUGUGUCAUCACUUGUGCAUUUUGAUGUUGGUUAUUCAGUACCAAGUUACUGCCCAAAUCCAUCUGUCUUUGAGCUGUAUUGUUAUUUUUGUACUCAUCCUAAUUGGAGUCCUAUAAAUAUGAUAAAAUUGUAUUAUAUUGAAACAACUUCUGCACUGUAAACUACAAAGCAGUCUGCUCUAGGAUGAAACACUCGAUUCUGUAGAGGUAAUGAAAAAAAUCCCAUCUGAAUUAAACUAGUUGAAGCUAAAGAUAUAUCUGUAAAUUGAAUACAACAUCCAAAAAAGAAACUCUGAGAAGAAAAUGUAUGCAAUUUUAUGAAGUUUGCUAUGUAAUGUAAAAAAAAAAAAGGAAUUCUGUUUAGCAUGAAGGGGGAAGACCUUUUACCUCAGAGUCACCCCUGCCCAGGCUGUGCUCCCAGCCUCCAGAUUCUCCUACCCCUCACCUCUUUGCCUUGCCUUGCUCACGUUUUCCUCUUCCCCCACUGCUUCUCCACUCAGGGCUGGGAGGAGCAUUCCAAACUCCCAUGCCAACUGUAGAAGCUGGUCUUGAGCCUCCUUAUGGCAGGGGUAGAAAAGGGAAAAGCACAGGUGGGAAAGGAUGACAGAAGAUGUUGGAUGCGACCAUGAUGCUGAAGGUCCUGCAGGAAGAGGAGAGCUGGAUCGAGCACCAUGAGAUGCUGUGAAGCUAGGGACCUGUGUAGAGGCUGUGUGGGGAGCUUGGAGUGAGGCAUGGGGAGGGGAAGUUUGGGAGGUUCACAGGUUAACUCAUGCCAUAGUGCUUCACCCCCUGCACACAGAGGUAAAAAAGGAGUGAGGAGCAUGUAAGGUGAUGAUGAGCACCAUGAGAAAAGAGUGAUGUUUGGAGACAUAGUAGCACAAGCAUAAGCAGCUAGACCUGAAGGAUAUACUGGACAUUGACUUUCAUGGCAGAACUGCUGGGUGUUAGGACACAGCUGCAACAUGACACUGGUGAAGCCGGUGGUGACCGAUGCAGAAGGGAGGUGGAGGCAGUGCCAGAGCCAGAGUCCAGCCCAGCCAGCCUCCUGUGUGUCUACAAGCAUGAGGCCAGUGAGGCAUCAGCCCUCAGCAGUAGCAGGACCCACGAGGACACAUCCAUGGCUGUGCUGAUGGUCAGACCGGAGCCAGCUCCACUCCCCUGGAUAACUGUGGAGCUCCAAGGAGUUCUGUGUGGCUUUCCCUGGAGAAGGUCCUUCAGCUGGUCCUUGCUCUAGCAGAUAACAGUGUCUGGAAAGACAGCUGGUAUCUCUCGUGCCGUCUGGAUGCUGGGGCUCCUUUCCUGUCUGGCCAGAGCGCAGCCCUGCUCCUCCAAGCCACACUCGGCACUGCCUGCUCCCAGCCACCAAGAGCCAGACACUAAUUCUCAUCCUACAGGCUCCUCACAGAGAACUGCAGUCACCUUUACUUUCUUCUUCCUCUUUUUUUUUUCUUUCUAUAUUUUUAAAGUGAAGCAGCAUAAAUUCACUCUUGUAAUAUG
ensembl:lncRNA